GUCUUUUUGAUAAUAAUUUAAAGUCUAAUCUGCCCACUGAUAAGUAUUAAAGGGCUGCAGUAUAUUGACUGUACAAAGGUAGCAUAAUCAUUAGUUUUUUAAUUGGAAACUUGUAUGAAGGAUUUGAUGAAAUAUAAACUGUCUCUUAAUUAUUAUUAAAAUUUUAUUUUUUCGUUAAAAAGCUAAAAUAAAUUUAAAAGACGAGAAGACCCUAUAGAGUUUUAUAUUUUGUUAUAUUUUAAAAAUUUAUAAAAUUAAUAUUUAAAAUAAAGUAAAAUAUUAUGUUGGGGUGACAGAAAAAUUAAAUAAACUUUUUUUAAAAAUUAAACAUUUAUAAAUGAAUAAUUGAUCCAUAAAUAAUGAUUAUAAGAAAAAAUUACCUUAGGGAUAACAGCGUAAUAUUUUUUUUUAGUUCAAAUAAAAAAAAAAGUUUGCGACCUCGAUGUUGGAUUAAGAUAAAAUUUAAAUGCAAAAGUUUAAAAUUUUGAUCUGUUCGAUCAUUAAAAUCUUACA
rnacentral:rRNA from 1 species